GACGAACCGAGCGAACGUUGUUCGGAAUCACUGGGCUUAAAGGGUGCGUAGGCGGCCAUGUAAGUGAGGUGUGAAAUCCCUCGGCUCAACCGAGGAACUGCGCUUCAUACUGCAUGGCUUGAGGGAGACAGGGGUAAGCGGAACUGAUGGUGGAGCGGUGAAAUGCGUUGAUAUCAUCAGGAACACCGGUGGCGAAAGCGGCUUACUGGGUCUCUUCUGACGCUGAGGUACGAAAGCUAGGGUAGCGAACGGG
rnacentral:rRNA from 1 species